GAACGGUAAGGCCCUUCGGGUUACACNAGUGGCGAACGGGUGAGUAACGCGUGAGNAACCUGNACUUCACUCUGGGAUAACAGUUGGAAACGGCUGCUAAUACCGGAUAUUCAGCUCCUGUCGCAUGGUGGGGGUUGGAAAGUUUUGGUGGUGGAGGAUGGGCUCGCGUCCUAUCAGCUUGUUGGUGGGGUGAUGGCCUACCAAGGCGUCGACGGGUAGCCGGCCUGAGAGGGCGACCGGCCACAUUGGGACUGAGAUACGGCCCAAACUCCUACGGGAGGCAGCAGUGGGGAAUAUUGCACAAUGGGCGGAACUGAUGCAGCAACGCCGCGUGCGGAUGACGGCCUUCGGGUUGUAAACCGCUUUCAGCAGGGACGAAGCGCAAGUGACGGUACCUGCAGAAGAAGCACCCGGCUAACUACGUGCCAGCAGCCGCGGUGAUACGUAGGGUGCGAGCGUUGUCCGGAUUUAUUGGGCGUAAAGAGCUUGUAGGCGGUUGGUUGCGUCGAAAGUGCAAACUCAGGGCUUAACUCUGAGCCUGCUUUCGAUACGGGCUGACUGGAGGAAGGUAGGGGAGAAUGGAAUUCCCGGUGGAGCGGUGGAUGCGCAGAUAUCGGGAGGAACACCAGUCGCGAAGGCGGUUCUCUGGACCUUCCUGACGCUGAGAGCGAAAGUGGGGAGCAACAGGCUUAGAUACCCUGUAGUCCACGCUAUAAACGGUGGGUACUAGGUGUGGGGGACAUUCCACGUUCUCUGUGCCGUACGUAACGCAUUAAGUACCCGCCUGGGGAGUACGGCGCAAGGCUAAAACUCAAAGGAAUUGACGGGGCCCGCACAAGCGGCGGAGCAUGCGGAUUAAUUCGAUGCAACGCGAAGAACCUUACCUGGGUUUGACAUAUAUCGGAAACGUUCAGAGAUGGGCGCCCCGUAAGGUCGGUAUACAGGUGGUGCAUGGCUGUCGUCAGCUCGUGUCGUGAGAUGUUGGGUUAAGUCCCGCAACGAGCGCAACCCUCGUCCAAUGUUGCCAGCGGGUUAUGCCGGGGACUCAUUGGAGACCGCCGGGGUCAACUCGGAGGAAGGUGGGGAUGACGUCAAGUCAUCAUGCCCCUUAUGUCCAGGGCUUCACGCAUGCUACAAUGGCCGGUACAAAGAGUUGCGAGCCUGUGAGGGUGAGCGAAUCUCAAAAAGCCGGUCUCAGUUCGGAUUGGGGUCUGCAACUCGACCCCAUGAAGUCGGAGUCGCUAGUAAUCGCAGAUCAGCAACGCUGCGGUGAAUACGUUCCCGGGGCUUGUACACACCGCCCGUCAAGUCAUGAAAGUCGUNUNACCCGAACCGGUGCCUAACCCGUUUGGGGGGA
rnacentral:rRNA from 1 species